UGCCAUAAGGUUCAAAAUUGAAUCAAAUAGUGAAUGCUGAAAAUCAAUACUGUAAAUUGAACAUCUGUCUGAAAUACUCUAGCCUGAAAAACCUCUAACUGAACUAUCUGAAAGUGGAGUUGAUAGGACAAGCCCCCAACUAACUCCAACUACUAAAGUACUGAUAUCUGAAAAAAAUCCUCAAACUAUGAGGACUCACCACUAAAUUUGUUGCUGAUAUUUGGGC
rnacentral:lncRNA from 1 species